GGUGGGAUUUAUUAGCAGCGGCUAAAUUCGUCGGGAUUACUAUUAGGCCGAGAGCUUCUCAAUGGGCACGAUCCCUGGGCGAGCGGUGCGGUGGCGGGGAGGCGCUGGAAAGCUCCUUUUCUGUAGAUGGGCAAAGGGGCGUCCGGUGGGAGCCAGGGGAGGCAGGCAGGGCACAGCUGGCUGCGGGUGCUUCACCUCGGCACAGGCUGUAACCUCCAUUCCGAGCACGCAGCUCCUGGCAGCGUCGCUCAUACCAAAGCCUUGACUCAGAGUUAUCUGCAUGCUGGGUAAUGAGCAGCGUCACCAGAGGAAUGUGCAGAGAAAGCAGCCAUGCUGCUGCAAGCCUCCUCUCGUUCCUCGGGCGAACUGCCGAUUUAGCAGCCUGCCUCUGCGUGACCGGUUGGAGGUGGGGGCUUCAGUCUGGGGGGUGGCCCGAGUGCACUUUGAAGCCAAAACAGGGUUUUGCCCUUCCGUGAGUAAGCGCUUUGUAUGCAAGGCCGGACAGGACUUUGCUAACCUUAAUUGAGGACUGCGCCAAGUAAAGGGCGAAGUCACUCCUCCAGUCGCUGGGUGAGUUUAUCCAUGUUCCACAUGGGCAGGCUGCAGCGCUCAGCCAACUCACACAGCAGAUGCCUAUCUGAGGAAGGGGGGGAGUGCCUGACUGCUGCUCUCCCUUCCACGGGAUUAAAAGCGAGUUGUAAUAAUGGCUGCGUACGGCUGAACUCAAAAGCACUUGCACCACGCAGGCAUUUGGGAACAACAGCUUCCAGAGCCAGGCGCUCUCUAUAGCCUGUGUCCUUCGCUCUGAUGGCUCUGAGGCUCUGGGCUGUUGCUGUUCUUGCUGAUGCAACACAGCGAGGGCUGGGGUGAAGGAGAGUGCAUACCUGUGUGUCAGAGGUAGGAGCUCCCCUUUGGCGAUGAUGGAAAGCACAGCAAAUUCAAAUCAAAGAUGAGAGGGGGUUGCUUUGAAUUGCUGUACUCCAGAUGUAUCUGAGGCAAUCUCCCUCUUCACAGCACACAUCGCUGUAGCAAGAGCAAAGAUCACAGCGUAGCCCAGGUUUUCAUUUGAACAUGUCCAGGCUCGCGCACAGUUGAGGUAAGGACAAUGUGCUUUUGUAGAUUUGAUUUGUGUCAGAGCUAGGGGCAGAACCAGGGAGGGAGGGAGAAGCCUGAAUAUCUGGUCUGCUAGUGAAAAGUACAGGCCUCUGAGUAAGACAAUGCGGCUCAUCUGAGUUAGCUGGAUGUGCUAGACUUUCUCCUAGAACUCUCUUCCCCAGCAUCUGUAACUUAUUCCUGUAAAAUGAAAAAAGAAUGCAUAAAAUAUCUAGGUUUAAAGCAUUUGAAAGAGCUCUCACCUUCCUGCAGGAGUAAAGUUUUGAAUAUUUUCUAUGACUUGCUCAGUGUUGUUGAUGUGUUUUACUGUUACAUGCAAAGAUAAUUUCUCCACAAAGAAUUCAGACUGCACUGAUAAGAAAGGCCAGUUGGUGCAUCUAUUUUAUCCCACCUCCUUCAGUGAAAGAUUAUUUCUAGUAUCUUAUCAGAAAGAAGCAGCCUUUCAAACGCCGUACCUUAGUAAGUAUGCACACUCCAUUUUGGCAAACAUUUGUUGUGGUUUUGAGAGGUUGUUCUCCCCUCCUCCUCCUGCUUGCUUUCAGCUCUUCUCCAGCUCAUCCAGCUACGCUCACUCAGCUGUGCUCAUUGCGUCACUCGUGCUGGAAGGGAGGCAGCAAGAGGUGGAACUGUCAGGAUGGCAUCAGUUGGGGAUCCACGAACAUAGAGUCGUGUUGUGCUAACAUGGCCCUGCAACCUGUGGUAGAUUCAUGAGUCAGCAUCCUGGAUAGGUGCCUUGUGGGACAGCUAGUUAGCUGGAUCAGGAAACGAUGCAGAAAUUAUCCUGCUUUUGUGCUCCUGUUUUUCCUCAUACUAGAAGAGACAACAGCACUUCUUGAGAACUGCACUGCACAUGCUUAGGACAAAGAGCAGCUCCUUUUGCCUUUUUUGCAUGAUUAGUUGCAGCUCUCUGCCUAGAUCUUCCUUGUUCUGUUGAUAUGAUUUUCACAGCAGUGUGUUGUGCAUAUUUUGCAAGUUCCAGCUUGAAACUUCCUCCUAGCAGAAGGCUGUGUCAUUUAAAGGAACCCCACCCUGCUCUCCCUUGAAGAUGUGCAAUCCCAGGCUAUGUCUGAGCAUGCCUGGGGAGGCAGGUGCAGCCCGGCUGGAUCCUCAAGAUGACCUCCAAAUAAACGCUGCUUAAACAAAUUGGACUAAUAAGAACAUUCAAAAUUCAAGUAAUAAUCAAGACAGUUUCUGCUCUGUAGUCUUCACUUCGUGCUUCUCCCAUUCCCUCUUCCUCGGAUUUGUAGCCCAGGAUAUAUGCCACAGCCACGUUGCUAUGGAAAUUAAUUACAACAUAACUUCAAAGAACAGAGGAGUGCCCAGAACGGUGAUCGGUUCCGGCUCCAGCAGCAGACCCUGUGGAUGUCCCUCCAUCUCAUCUCUGAGAACAGAAUUAGUGAUGUUCCCUGGCUGUUUGGUUGCUACAAAUGAGCACAUUCCCCCUGAAUGCAAGCGAGCCCAGAUGCAGUGUCUGCACUCCUGGAGUCAGUCUCAGCAUGGCCAGAGCAAGAGCCAAACAGCUCCACGAUUUGUGCUGCACACAUAGGCCCCUCUCAGUGGGGAGCUGCUCCGCACUGCGAUUCUCACCCCCUGCACUGGCAGCAGUGUCCAGACACGCAGACAAACUUUUGAGGGUGACUGUUUUUAGCUCCAUCAGUGCAGGGCUAAGCCUGCCCAAACUGCCUUCUACCAGCCCAGCAACAGUCCCAGCCCACGUGUCAGCAAAUGCUAUGGGAAUCUCUUCUGCUGAGGUGAAGGCUGCAGUUCCUGGUGCUUUUGUUGACUCUGCAGGAGGAGUGUCUGGUCUGCUGCUGUGGGGUUUUUUCUGUUUUUUUUUUUUCUUUUUUUUUUCCCCACCAGCAAACAAACAGCACCUCCAUCUUUCCUCCUCACAGCAGAAGAUUCCAUUGAGAUAUAUCUAACUAUUGGUUUUGUCAUUAUCUUUUAUGUAUCUGCCCCAGUUUUCUCUUACAAAUUCAGUCCGUUUGCCUGUCAGUGUGCUUUGUGGUGCACAAGCUUCUGGUUUACUUUCCCCAAGAAUUAUUCUCUUUCAGCAUUCCAAAUUAUUUGAGACAGCAGUUCAUCCUCCUUUGAGCACCUGGCUAGAGGGGGAUGACCUGAAGGGUCCUGUCUGCUACAACAAGACAAACCGCACAAGCUUACCUAUUCCAUUUGCUGCCACUACUAAGUCCUUUCUGUAAUUCCUCUGACUCCUUUCUUGCUGGGCUUGAUAAUCUCACAGAGCUGGUUUACUCCAUGUCUACAGGUCCUUAAAGGGGCAGGUUAGACUUAGCACUGUUUGCAAAUAAUCCAGGAAGAUUUGUAUAUGGUAUGGAAGCGUACAAUCUCCUACAAAAACACUUUUUUCCUGUUUAGAAAUUUGCGAGGUUAAAGUAGAUACGUGUGAAGAACAAACUCUGAAAGGCUCUGAGUGCUCUCCGCAUGUAGUUGUUUAAGUGGAAGCGUGGUAGAUGUUAGGAUUAGCGUGAAGUACACCAUACCUGGGACGGAGGAACCACUGUGAUGUUUUACUUCCGCAGCUUGAAAUACAUAUUACUUACAGAUGUGCUUACAUUCUUAGCCCUUAUGGCUUUCCAGUGCCUCUUGACAAACUCCUGAGCUUACAGAGGUGGUGCUGACUAGCUGCAGUAUUUCUUUUCCUAACAUAAAUAAAGCUGUUGAGUGUGGCAAGGGAUAGUUUCUGUCGGGAGAGAUCAAGAAAUGGAAAUGUUCCUCUUCUGGGAUGUGUGUCAAGGUGUUCCACAGACCCUUAGCUUAAAAUAGAGGAUGAAGUAAGAACAAAUGCCAGAGGCAAAGGCAAGAAAGGAAAAGUAGGCAAGCUCAAUCCUUCAGCAGGUGGGCAGGAAAAUGUGAGUGAGACAUGCAGACUUUUCUGGUUUUAAAUGCUUGAGGGCUGCUCAGAAACUGUUGUGAUGGGGCCAUUUAUAAAGCCGGGCAGGCAAACAAGAGCCAAAUGGUUGCAUAGUUAUGAGCAGGAAAACUUUCCAGAGCAGCAAAGGCUGGGAAUAACAUAAAUAAGGUAGUUGGGCAAUAGGUCACAGGGUGAAGAGUCCCUCGUAACCGGUUCAUCCAUGAGUAAGAAAUAAUGAGAAGUUCGUAAGUGAGAGACAGCAGAUAAUCAAAGGCAAGGUCGGCACAAGAAUAUGGCUCUUGAAUGUUGACUUUGCAAAUAUCUCAGUGGUCAUUAUUGCUAUUUUUCUUAUCAGCCAAAGGUGUGCAAUGUGGCAGGCAGUCUUUUUCAAAAUGCUUACCAUUUAAAAAAGCAAAGGAGAAAGAACAAAAGGAGAUGUAGAAAAGUUGGAAAGUACUGUUUGAGCAUGAGAACACAAAACAGUAGGUCUUGACACACAGCUGGUGAGAAACGAAAGGAGCCAGGGAGUAACAGGUCAUAUUUAUGGCAUACGCAUUUCUCACACUGAGAAAUUCCUCAGUACUUUGUCUAGUUUGAAAGAAACGCGUCCAGCUAUUUGGGGGAAGACCUGGCAGUCACUGGGAGGCCUACUGGAAGCUACGUCUGUGCAAAUCAGCACUUUGGGUCGGAAAGCCCACCCCAGAGUGAGUAACGAGUGGAAGCGCCUCGAGCGCGAUGCAGAGCUUUCUGACACCCUUACAGGAACGGAAGGAAUGUCCUUGUCCUGGUGAGCCACUCUCAGAAAUGGAAAUGAUCCAAAUCAAGAGGUUUGGAGGUAAGCUCGUGAGAACAGUUAGAGACGUGCAAAAACAUCUCUGCACCACAGCAGAAGUAGCUACUGUUUAUUUAUUCCGUGGCUAAAGCACCUUAGUAUGCGUAAGGCUUUGUAGGCAAAUGGGGCAGGUCUGUGCCUGAGGAGUUUUGCCUUCUGAGCAAGACAGAGCGCAACAAAGGGAGGCACAGCGAGGAAGUGUGUUGGUACGUGUGUGAGCGGCGCGUCCGUGAGAGGCGGCAGCCACCGCCAGCAGAGGUCAGAGGCAGGGGUGUCACCAGGGCCCCCCCACGGCCGUCAGCUCGCCGUGAGCAUCCGCCGUGCUGCCGUGCGGAGGGAAGCUCGCGUUCCAUUACCCGCAGGGUGUGACGCGUCUGCUCACGGCUACAGUCCUGGAGGAGCAGCCUCCAGCCUCUGCAGACCGCGUCCCACCGGCUUCUUUUACUGCAAUAGCAGCCUCUUUUAGGAGCAAACUGCGUGCUUGUAAGCACAGAAAAGCAGCCGCAUUGCACAGGCAGCAGUGGCAAAAAAUUAAUCGUUUGAAUUCAAAAGUGAAUUUGGGGGGCUUCUGUGUUGCAGUGCUUUAAUACCCAUGCACUCAGAGUGUGUAAAUUCAUUUGUGCGAAUGACUUUGAAGCUGGAUUCUAAACGUAAAAAGAAGGUGGAGCUGCACGUUUUGCUUGUUGCAAAACUCAGUUAGCUCCCAAACGUGGCACCAAGCCAGUAUCAGUGGUGUGUGUGAUCAGCCAGCACCUCAGUGCGACUGCAGGCGUCCAUCAGACAGACCUGUCGUUUUGAGUGAUCAAAACC